GGCUGGAUCAUGAGUUUACUGAGCAGCCUCGCUCCCUCGCCGCGGACACCGCUGUACUCCAGCAAGACCAAAAUGAAAAAGCUUCCGAAGAAGAGCCAGAAUGAGAAGUACAGGCUGAAAUACCUCCGGUUGCGGAAGGCAGCCAAAGCCACGGUGUUCGAAAAUGCUGCUAUUUGUGAUGAAAUUGCUCGUCUUGAAGAAAAAUUUCUUAAAGCAAAAGAAGAAAGUAGGUACUUGCUAAAGAAGCUCCUCCAAGUUCCGGCUCUAACUGAAGGGGAAGCACAGUCUGCAACUCCUUCCCAUAGCUCCAGUUUGCCCCUGACAUAUGGUGUGGCCAACUCUAUGGGAGCAAUACAGGGAGCUGGGUCCAUUUCUGGACCCAGCACUGGUGCUGAAGAACCAUUUGGGAAGAAAUCUAAGAAAGAGAAAAAAGAAAAAGGCAAAGAGAACAACAAACUGGAAGAUUAUCACCGACCGACCUGGCUUCCAUGAUGAAUGUGCCAUCUACCCUGUGGGCUACUGCAGUACUCGAGUAUAUGUCAGCAUGAAGUCCCCAGACCAGAAGUGUCUGUAUACCUGUCAGAUCAAGGAUGGUGGUGUGCAGCCACAGUUUGAAAUUGUUCCUGAAGAUGAUCCCCAGAAUGCCAUUGUCCACUGUUCUGCAGAUGCUUGUCACACAGAACUGCUCAAGACCAUAAGUGCUUCUAUGGGGAAGUUAAUUCCGAACCUGCUUCCAUCUGGAGCUGAUUCCUUUGGAUUUUGUCAUCCAACCAUUCACAAUCUGAUCCAGAGUUGUCCAGGAGCUCGAAAAUGUGUCAAUUACCAGUGGGUGAAAUUUGAUGUGUGUAAACCUGGAGAUGGACAGUUAACCCCAGGACUGCCAGAGAAUGAUGCUGCUAUGAGCUUUGAAGCCUUUCAGAGACAGACCUUUGAUGAGGAUCAGAAUGAUCCCAUUUUGCCAGAAGUGAUUGGAUCCUGUUUGUUGUGUGUUGCUGAGAAGCAUUGA